rnacentral:rRNA from 1 species
UUAUGGCUCAGGACGAACGCUGGCGGCGUGCUUCAUACAUGCAAGUCGAACGAUAAGGUCUCUUCGGAGACACAUAAGUGGCGGACGGGUGAGUAAAAUGUAGAGAAUCUGCCCUAGAGUGGGGGACAACAGUUGGAAACGACUGCUAAUACCGCAUAUGAGCGUACCUGCAAUGGUAUUCUUGAAAACUUCGGUGCUCUGGGAUGAGUCUGCAUCUGAUUAGCUAGUUGGCGGUGUAAUGGACCACCAAGGCGACGAUCAGUAGCUGGUUUGAGAGGAUGAUCAGCCACAGUGGGACUGAGACACGGCCCAUACUCCUACGGGAGGCAGCAGUAGGGAAUUUUGCGCAAUGGGCGAAAGCCUGACGCCAGCAACGCCGCGUGAUUGAAUAAGCCCUUCGGGGUGUAAAGAUCUGUCAGUAGGGACGAAACUUGACGGUACCUACAGAGGAAGCAUCGGCUAACUCCGUGCCAGCCGCGGC